rnacentral:rRNA from 1 species
GACGAACGCUGGCGGCGUGCCUAAUACAUGCAAGUUGAGCGCUGAAGGUUGGUACUUGUACCAACUGGAUGAGCAGCGAACGGGUGGGUAACGCGUGGGGAAUCUGCCUUUGAGCGGGGGACAACAUUUGGAAACGAAUGCUAAUACCGCAUAAAAACUUUAAACACAAGUUUUAAGUUUGAAAGAUGCAAUUGCAUCACUCAAAGAUGAUCCCGCGUUGUAUUAGCUAGUUGGUGAGGUAAAGGCUCACCAAGGCGAUGAUACAUAGCCGACCUGAGAGGGUGAUCGGCCACAUUGGGACUGAGACACGGCCCAAACUCCUACGGGAGGCAGCAGUAGGGAAUCUUCGGCAAUAGACGAAAGUCUGACCGAGCAACGCCGCGUGAGUGAAGAAGGUUUUCGGAUCGUAAAACUCUGUUGGUAGAGAAGAACGUUGGUGAGAGUGGAAAGCUCAUCAAGUGACGGUAACUACCCAGAAAGGGACGGCUAACUACGUG